UGAUGGAAGAUGGUGGAGCAUCUCCGAGGCUUGGUGGGAGUCUGGACUCUUUGAGAGGACCGGAAUUCCCGGUCACAGGAGUAUCGCCCAUCAAGCAGGAAAAGAUUUGUGAGAGACUCCGUACCCUUCUGCUUCCCUUACCCUUCUGGUAUUCAUAUACAUACGGCGAGCUUUUUUUUUUCCCCGUGUAAAGAGAAUUCAGCUCUUUUCAAUCAGAAUAGAGCUAGAAGGGACCUUGGAGGUCUUCUAGCCCAACCCCCUGAUCAAGAGGAGACCCUACCAUUUCAGAUGGGUGGCUGUCCAGUCUUUUCAUCCAGUGAUGAAGCGACCCUGAGCCUUGGUGGCGCAGCGGACUAAAGUGCUGUUAAGUAGCACUUAGCUGCCAGCUGCCUGCAAUUACUGCAAGUUCAAAUCUCACCAGGCUCAAGGUUGACUCAGCCUUCCAUCCUUCCGAGGUUGUGAGGGCAAUAAAUCUAUUAUAAGGGCACUUGUAAAAUUUCCUGACAUUUGAUGGACAGCUCCGCCUCGAGUGAGACCAACAUUUUUGGACAAGAGGAUCCCUGUGCCGCCUCUUUUCAGUUGUGAAUUCUGACUCGCAACCUGGUUCCCAGGGGACUAUAGGAACUAGUGAAGACGCCCUAGCGAUGGCUUCAUAAGAUCAAAAGUAAAUGCAACCGAGCACAGAUUCCUACCCAGUAGCCUUGUUCAGGAUGAGCUAAUCCCUUUUGGAAAAAGGAUGGGAAGGACAAAACAUCUGCAGGGGCUAUGAUGUUUUUACAGAUUCCUUUGCAGGUGCUUUGACACCACCUCCAAUGAUGCUGGAUCCAGUGAUGUAAAUCCCCCUAAAAACAGAAUGAUUAGAUGGACAGCCUUCACCAUGUUGCACAGAUAAUUUGGAAUGUGCCAGUAGAUGGCAAAUAGUUUCUUCAAUUAUGUCUGUGGUAAAUUAUUUAUUCAUAUAAUGCUCUAUGCCGAUCUGUAUUUGCCUUUCCAUUAUGCAAGACAAAGUAUCUUACAUGGGGCCCUCAAUUGUUUCCAGGCAAAAAUUAACUGGGUUUGAGGCUACUUAGUUUCAUGUGCCAUUUUAAUAUCAGUAAGUGAACUCAAAAGCAGAGGUCAGCUGCACUUGCCAGCUAGCAACAAGAAGAGAAGAGAGAUAUGAAGAAAAAAGAUACUCACC